UACGUAGGGUGCAAGCGUUAAUCGGAAUUACUGGGGCGUAAAGCGUGCGCAGGCGGUUUUGUAAGUCUGACGUGAAAUCCCCGGGCUCAACCUGGGAAUUGCGUUGGAGACUGCAAGGCUGGAGUCUGGCAGAGGGGGGUAGAAUUCCACGUGUAGCAGUGAAAUGCGUAGAUAGUCUGGAGGAACACCGGUGGCGAAGGCGGCAUCCUGGACCGGCAUUGA
rnacentral:rRNA from 1 species